AGAUCUGGGACCAGGCUAUAGGAGGAGACAACAGAUCUGGGACCAGGUUAUAGAAGGAGCCAACAGAUCUGGGACCAGGCUAUAGAAGGAGACAACAGAUCUGGGACCAGGCUAUAGAAGGAGACAACAGAUCUGGGACCAGGCUAUAGAAGGAGACAACAGAUCUGGGACCAGGCUAUAGAAGGAGACAACAGAUCUGGGACCAGGCUAUAGAAGGAGACAACAGAUCUGGGACCAGGCUAUAGAAGGAGACAACAGAUCUGGGACCAGGCUACAGAAGGAGACAACAGAUCUGGGACCAGGCUAUAGAAGGAGACAACAGAUCUGGGACCAGGCUAUAGAAGGAGACAACAGAUCUGGGACAAGGCUAGAGGAGGAGACAACAGAUCUGGGACCAGGCUAUGACCUUUUCUCACCUGGGUUUCUCUCUGCUGUUUUUGUUGUUGUUGCUCUCUUCCUGUGUGUCACCUUCCAGUCGGGGGGGAUUGUGCUCGUGAAGCGAGGAAUGGCCAACUGUACAUCACAGCUGUCCCUGUUACCUUUUGCCAACAAUGUAACACACACACACACACACACACACACACACACACACACACACACACACACACACACACACACACACACACACACACACACACACACACACACACACACACACACACACACUGAGCCUCUGAGAGUGUACAGUCUACCACAGGAACAAGAGCAGUCAUUUUACAUUGAUCAGAUGCUCUUAUCUGGAGCAACAUACAGGAGCAAUUAGGGUUAAGUGCCUUGGUCAAGGGCACAUCGACAGAUUGUUCAUCUCGUCUGCUCGGGGAUUCAAACCAGUGACCUUUUCGGUUACUGGCCCAAUGCUCUUAACUGCUUGGCUACCUGCCAGUCCUCUCUCUCGUCUCAACCCUCCCUCCCUCCUUCCCUCCCUCUACUCCAUCAGUCAAGACACGCAGCUGAUCCAUUCUGUCACAUUAUCAUCCACAAGCUCCCAGAUCAACUCAGCCAAAAUCAAUGGCCAUAAACCACUAUGGUGUUCUAUCAUGACCCAUAAAACAGGGGUGGCAGUGAGGACCAGGGGUCAUAGAGAUUCUGACUCAAAUCAAGGUUUUUAUUGGUCGUUCAACACAGUGAUGCCUUUCUUGCAAACUCACAAUCCGACACAGCAGUGAUCAAUAUCAAUGUGGCACUACAAAAACACUAGGUAGAGCAAAAACACAAGAAAUAAGAAUAAAAAAACAAUAAAUAAAAAUAAGAAAUAAGAAUAACGGCAGAAAGUAAGAAACUAAAUUAGUGUCCAAUAACAUAUUUAUAAUGUACAGGGAUACUGGAGUGAUGGAGGUAGAUACUGGAGUGAUGGAGGUAGAUACUGGAGUGAUGGAGGUAGAUACUGGAGUGAUGGAGGUAGAUACUGGAGUGAUGGAUGUAGAUACUGGAGUGAUGGAGGUAGAUACUGGAGUGAUGGAGGUAGAUACUGGAGUGAUGGAGGUAGAUACUGGAGUGAUGGAUGUAGAUACUGGAGUGAUGGAGGUAGAUACUGGAGUGAUGGAGGUAGAUACUGGAGUGAUGGAGGUAGAUACUGGAGUGAUGGAGGUAGAUACUGGAGUGAUGGAUGUAGAUACUGGAGUGAUGGAGGUAGAUACUGGAGUGAUGGAUGUAGAUACUGGAGUGAUGGAGGUAGAUACUGGAGUGAUGGAGGUAGAUACUGGAGUGAUGGAGGUAGAUACUGGAGUGAUGGAGGUAGAUACUGUAUGUACAAGGAUGCUGGAGUGAUGGAGGUAGAUAUUGGAGUGAUGGAGGUAGAUACUGGAGUGAUGGAGGUAGAUAUUGGAGUGAUGGAGGUAGAUACUGGAGUGAUGGAGGUAGAUACUGGAGUGAUGGAGGUAGAUACUGGAGUGAUGGAGGUAGAUACUGGAGUGAUGGAGGUAGAUAUUGGAGUGAUGGAGGUAGAUACUGGAGUGAUGGAGGUAGAUACUGGAGUGAUGGAGGUAGAUAUUGGAGUGAUGGAGGUAGAUACUGGAGUGAUGGAGGUAGAUACUGGAGUGAUGGAGGUAGAUACUGGAGUGAUGGAGGUAGAUACUGGAGUGAUGGAGGUAGAUACUGUAGUGAUGGAGGUAGAUACUGGAGUGAUGGAGGUAGAUACUGGAGUGAUGGAGGUAGAUACUGUAUGUCCAGGGACACUGGAGUGAUGGAGGUAGAUACUGGAGUGAUGGAGGUAGAUACUGGAGUGAUGGAGGUAGAUACUGGAGUGAUGGAGGUAGAUACUGGAGUGAUGGAGGUAGAUACUGGAGUGAUGGAGGUAGAUACUGGAGUGAUGGAGGUAGAUACUGUAGUGAUGGAGGUAGAUACUGGAGUGAUGGAGGUAGAUACUGGAGUGAUGGAGGUAGAUACUGGAGUGAUGGAGGUAGAUACUGGAGUGAUGGAGGUAGAUACUGGAGUGAUGGAGGUAGAUACUGGAGUGAUGGAG